GAUGAACGCUGGCUACAGGCUUAACACAUGCAAGUCGAGGGGAAACGACGGGGAAGCUUGCUUCCCCGGGCGUCGACCGGCGCACGGGUGAGUAACGCGUAUCCAACCUGCCUCUGACUGAGGGAUAACCCGUCGAAAGUCGGCCUAAUACCUCAUGGUAUCGUCUGCGGGCAUCCAACGACGAUUAAAGAUUUCAUCGGUCAGGGAUGGGGAUGCGUCUGAUUAGCUUGUUGGCGGGGUAACGGCCCACCAAGGCUACGAUCAGUAGGGGUUCUGAGAGGAAGGUCCCCCACAAUGGAACUGAGACACGGUCCAAACUCGUACGGGAGGCAGCAGUGAGGAAUAUUGGUAAAUGGGCGAGAGCCUGAACCAGCCAAGUAGCGUGCAGGAAGACGGCCCUAUGGGUUGUAAACUGCUUUUAUGCGGGGAUAAAGUGAGGGACGUGUCCCUCAUUGCAGGUACCGCAUGAAUAAGGACCGGCUAAUUCCGUG
rnacentral:rRNA from 1 species